rnacentral:rRNA from 1 species
CUUCCUAUUAGAUAGAUGGUGAGAGUAUGGCUCACCAAGGCUACGAUGGGUAGGGGUUCUUAGUGGAAGGUCCCCCACACUGGCACUGAGAUACGGGCCAGACUCCUACGGGAGGCAGCAGUAGGGAAUAUUGGUCAAUGGGCGCAAGCCUGAACCAGCCAUGCCGCGUGCAGGGUGAAGGCUCUCUGAGUUGUAAACUGCUUUUGUACAGGAGCAAAAAAAUCCCUGCGGGGGUUCUUGAGAGUACUGUAAGAAUAAGCACCGGCUAAUUCCGUGCCAGCAGCCGCGGUAAUACGGGAGGUGCAAGCGUUAUCCGGUUUUAUUGGGUUUAAAGGGUGCGUAGGCGGCUUAUUAAGUCAGUUGUGAAAUCCUAGUGCUUAACGCUAGAACUGCGAUUGAUACUAUU